CCUACGGGUGGCAGCAGUGAGGAAUAUUGGUCAAUGGACGAGAGUCUGAACCAGCCAAGUCGCGUGAAGGAUGACUGCCCUAUGGGUUGUAAACUUCUUUUAUCUGGGAAUAAAAUGUUCCACGUGUGGGUUUUUGUGUGUACCAUAUGAAUAAGGAUCGGCUAACUCCGUGCCAGCAGCCGCGGUAAUACGGAGGAUCCGAGCGUUAUCCGGAUUUAUUGGGUUUAAAGGGAGCGUAGGUGGAGUGUUAAGUCAGUUGUGAAAGUAUGCGGCUCAACCGUAAAAUUGCAGUUGAAACUGGCAGUCUGGAGUAGAGGAGAGGUAUGCGGAAUGCGUGGUGUAGCGGGGAAAUGCUUAGAUAUCACGAAGAACUCCGAUUGCGAAGGCAGCUCACUGGA
rnacentral:rRNA from 1 species